rnacentral:rRNA from 1 species
GACGAACGCUGGCGGCGUGCUUAACACAUGCAAGUCGAGCGGAGCGGCGAACGGGUGAGUAACGCGUUAGUAACUGCCCCCCUCUCUGGGAUAACAGUUGGAAACGGCUGCUAAUACCGGAUAGUGGGGGAUGACUCGCGUCCUAUCAGCUUGUUGGUGGGGUAGUGGCCUACCAAGGCGACGACGGGUAGCCGGCCUGAGAGGGCGACCGGCCACAUAGGGCUGAGGUACGGCCCAAGCUCCAACGGGAGGCAGCAGGGAGGAAUAUAGCACAAUGGGCGCAAGCCUGAUGCAGCCAUGCCGGGUGUAUGAAGAAGGCCUUCGGGUUGUAAACCGCUUUCAGCCAUGACGCGGUAGUGGCAGAAGAAGCACCGGCUAACUACGUGCCAGCAGCCGCGGUAAUUC